GCCCACAUAGCUCAGUCGGUAGAGCAGCGCAUUCGUAAUGCGCAGGUCGUUGGUUCGAAUCCGACUGUGGGCU
rnacentral:tRNA from 1 species